rnacentral:rRNA from 1 species
AUUGAACGCUGGCGGCAUGCCUUACACAUGCAAGUCGGAACGGCAGCACGGGAGCAAUCCUGGUGGCGAGUGGCGAACGGGUGAGUAAUAUAUCGGAACGUGGCCCGGUCGUGGGGGAUAACGUAGCGAAAGCUACGCUAAUACCGCAUACGAUCUACGGAUGAAAGCGGGGGAUCGCAAGACCUCGCGCGAUUGGAGCGGCCGAUAUCAGAUUAGGUAGUUGGUGAGGUAAAGGCUCACCAAGCCGACGAUCUGUAGCUCGGUCUGAGA